rnacentral:rRNA from 1 species
AAUCAACGCUGGCGGCGUGCCUAACACAUGCAAGUCGCACGAGAAAGGGACUUCGGUCCUGAGUACAGUGGCGCACGGGUGAGUAACACGUGAAUCAUCUACCUUCGAGUGGGAAUAACUGAGAGAAAUCUUAGCUAAUACCGCAUAAUACCUACGGGUCAAAGCAGCAAUGCGCUUGAAGAGGAGUUCGCGGCAGAUUAGUUAGUUGGC